UACGAAGGGGGCUAGCGUUGCUCGGAAUCACUGGGCGUAAAGCGCACGUAGGCGGCUUUCUAAGUCAGGGGUGAAAUCCUGGAGCUCAACUCCAGAACUGCCUUUGAUACUGGAGAGCUUGAGUCCGGGAGAGGUGAGUGGAACUCCGAGUGUAGAGGUGAAAUUCGUAGAUAUUCGGAAGAACACCAGUGGCGAAGGCGGCUCACUGGCCCGGUACGUGACGCUGAGGUGCGAAAGCGUGGGGAGCAAACAGG
rnacentral:rRNA from 1 species